CAAGCGUUGUUCGGAAUUACUGGGCGUAAAGGGCCAGUAGGCGGCCAACUAAGUCGGAUGUGAAAUCCCCAGGCUUAACCUGGGAACUGCAUCCGAUACUGGAUGGCUUGAAUUCGGGAGAGGGAUGCAGAAUUCCAGGUGUAGCGGUGAAAUGCGUAGAUAUCUGGAGGAAUACCGGUGGCGAAGGCGGCAUCCUGGACCGACAUUGACGCUGAACGGCGAAAGCUAGGGGAGCAAACGGG
rnacentral:rRNA from 1 species